GUGGCGAUUUUAGCCAAUGAACAGUCGGGCGGAAGCCAGAUUCCAUCCCUCCUUCCAGCGCCCUAAUUUUAGCCAAUAAAGAACCAGUUCUAGAUCGAAUCCCCGCCCCUUCCUCUCAUUCUACCCAAUGACAGAUGCCGAGCGGAGCCAAACUUCCGUCCGCCUUCUUGUGAGGGCGGGCGCCGGUAAUGAGUUGAUUUCCCUGUUGCUGGAAUCCAGCUAAGCGGUUUCCUGGGGGCUUGGACCUCCCCUCUUGCCAGCGUCCCUAUCAGGGGUUUUCUAGUGCACCUCCACGUGGAAAACUCCAAGUAAAGCUCUUGGGGGACUGGAGGUUUGGGAGAGACUGUGUGAGUCCUUCGUUUUUUAGACACUUAUUACACAGCGACUGUGUGAUGGGCACUACUCAAAACCUAACAGAGGUGAGGAGGAGGUUAGGUACAUUCUCCAGAGCCGUACCGGACAUGGCAGGAUUUACCACUUGCUGGACGCAGCAGGUGGCUCCAGAACAGGAACCUGAGUACGGGAAGACGUGUAAAUGAGAUGACGAUGGUCAAACAGCUGCAGAAAGGUUCUGGUCCCCUUCUGGGAAUCCACAAGCAGUAGUUGGAAGGACCCGUUAACCAAUGAACGGCACGGCCCGGAUCUUGUUUCAGUGUGGGCCCGGGGCGUGUGUGUGUUUUUCAUGAAGGUGCCUGUGGACACAUUGUGAAGAUGGCGAGUGGAUCAGACCCAGAGAAGCUCGUCCCUCCCCCGAAGCAUUUGAAGAUCGCUCCUCCGAUAAUCAUUCCACGGGCCAGAGGGACUGGGAAGGCAUGUGAUCCCACACGGGGGCAUAGUAAACAUUUGACAUCGGAAGGACAGGACAUGGGUCAGCGUCAGGCUUUGUCUGUCACACCUGACCGACUGUGGCCAUAUAACACCACGGCAGGUGAAUUUUAAUUAUUUGGGGGUAUCAUCGGCUGCACCACUGGGUGCGGGGACUCGUACUGGGGUCCGGGAUGCUUGGGAAUUGACAGCCGUGGGGGCGCUAGAUUUGCCACUCUCGCUGGACCGUGGGACAUGCCUGAGUACUCGCAGCACUGAUCUAUUCUGGACUUUUCUAACAAUAAUGGUGUUGCCAGCAACGCAUCCUCCUGGGAUCCCUUAUUGUCCCAAUACGACAUCAGCAGAGCUGAGAGGAUGGUGAAUUGGCCAGAACGUGCUCACCCUCUGCGUCCUCGGAGCAUCUCUCAACCAGACGGCCACGAUGGUGUGCGACUGGUCUCAUCGCCUCGUUGCUCAGAGACUGGCUGACGCCUGCAGGGUACGUAGCCUCUUUGGUGACCGCCCCAGAGGGACACAUUCAAAAGGACCUGUGGCGUGCCUUCGCAGCCUUGGACCUUGUUAAUCUGUCUGAUUCAUCUGCUGCAGAUUUGAACGUCAAGCAUCGCUAUGGGGUUCGAGCCCGCGUUGCCGCCCCCUAUGCCUUUCCAGUUGGUAAUUACAGACAAUUUUCUCAAAUGGACUUCUUAAUGUAUCUUGUGUCAAUUGUUAUUUAACUCACAACGAAGGGUCAGAACUAUUGGUUUUGAAUCAACUUAGUUUUAUAAUGUUACCAACAAGAUUGGAAGAGCUUUGGUAUGAUGAAAGCGAUAUUCGAACUCUGCUAGAAAUGAAGUCUGCCUUGAGCAGAGACAAAAGAAUUAUGGGACUGGUUAUUGCUGGUUUAGUAGUCUUUGUGUCUUUAGUAGCCACGGCAGUUACUACCGCGGUCACAUUGUCACAGAGCAUUCAGAAUGCCAAUUUCGUAAAUGAAUUAGCCUGUAAUACGUCCGUGGCCAUGAAAAGUCAAGAGGAUGUUGACUUAAAAUUAGAGGUAAAAUGAAAUGCUCUGGAAUCAGUUGUUGUUCAGAUUGGAAAUGAGGCCUUGGAGAUGAGGAUGAGUUGACGCUGUCACGCUGCCCACAAGGGAAUCUGUGUGACUGACGUGACUUACAGCCAGUCACGAUGGGACUGGCAGGGGGUUAGACCUCUUUUCAAGAUAUUUGGCAUCAUAACAAUUUGAGCUCAGAUCUGCCUAAUUUGCAUCGAGAGAUUUUGGACACUCCAAAUGCAAAAGGUACUAUAAUCAGCCCUCGAGCUUUAGCUAAAGACUUGUUAGAUAGCUCACAAGGCUUUCAUCCGUUUAAUAUGUGAAGACAUACUUUUUGGAUUUUGGCAGGAAUUUUGCGCUUCCUAGUUGUCUUUUUCUGUAUCUUUCCCGUCAGCUGCCGCGUCUUCCAACGACAAUUAACACAGUAUGACAUUGGUCUGCAUAUGCUGCAGCUUCAAAAGAAGGAAAGGUGGGGCAUGUGGAGAGCGGACUGUAAGCCGACAAGGUCCUCGCCGCCUGCGAGGGCAAACGGGUGACCUCGCCUCCGCAGACCCCUUCUGAGAACAAGAAAGUCCAAAUGUAGCCACAGGCAAACAGACUAGCUGAAGGUCAUGAGAAGAUGCGGCUUGGGAAAAGUAGAAGAAACUGUCGCUCUGCCUAAGGGAAACUGCUUACGCCAGCUCGCACGCUCCUGUAUAAAAGCAGCUCGCAAAAAUAAAACCGCCGUCACUGGACAGUGGACCCCCCGACCCCAGCUUUCUGUCUUCUUUCUUUUCUUCACGUCCCACCGUUCCCACUCAGGUACAUUGUCCAGAGCCGCGCUGGACGUGGCAGGAUUUACCUCUCACUGGAUGCAGCAAGACAGGGCCCAUUCUAGAAAGCUGUGGACGAAAGAAAGGUUCUACGGAAAGUGACCUCACAGGACGAUCUGAUCGUAAAUUCCUAACUGGACAGGUCAUGGUGGGUGGUCCCACCUCAGGCAUGUAACAACUAGUGAAAAUCUUAUCUGUGCCUUUAGCAAGCCCGGUCCAUUGCUUUUGUGUGUUAACACAUCUUCGAAAUAACCACCAUCAAGGGAGCGCAUAACCUCAAUCAUUCGGUCCCUGCCAUGCUGUCUCCCACCUCCAUGUAAUUAAUCUCCCUCACCUUCCCUCCUUAAUUUCAAGUGCACAAAAGAAACCGCAAAACAGUCACUCUCCAGAGCAUUUGAGAUCUCGCUUCCUGGCACUUGUCAGUCUGGCCCGAAUAAAAUCUUAUAAAAGUUC